GACGAACGCUGGCGGCGUGCCUAAUACAUGCAAGUAGAACGCACAGAUUAUACCGUAGCUUGCUACACCAUAGACUGUGAGUUGCGAACGGGUGAGUAACGCGUAGGUAACCUGCCUGGUAGCGGGGGAUAACUAUUGGAAACGAUAGCUAAUACCGCAUAAUAUUAAUUAUUGCAUGAUAAUUAAUUGAAAGGUGCAAUUGCACCACUACCAGAUGGACCUGCGUUGUAUUAGCUAGUAGGUGAGGUAACGGCUCACCUAGGCGACGAUACAUAGCCGACCUGAGAGGGUGAUCGGCCACACUGGGACUGAGACACGGCCCAGACUCCUACGGGAGGCAGCAGUAGGGAAUCUUCGGCAAUGGACGAAAGUCUGACCGAGCAACGCCGCGUGAGUGAAGAAGGUUUUCGGAUCGUAAAGCUCUGUUGUAAGAGAAGAACGGGUGUGAGAGUGGAAAGUUCACACUGUGACGGUAUCUUACCAGAAAGGGACGGCUAACUACGU
rnacentral:rRNA from 1 species